rnacentral:rRNA from 1 species
UAAUCAUUUGUCUAUUAAUUGUAGACCUGUAUGAAAGGCAAAAUGAGAGCCCAACUGUCUCUUAUAACGAAUCAAUUAAACUGAUCUUCUAGUACAAAAGCUAGAAUACCGACAUAAGACCAGAAGACCCUGUGAAGCUUUAACUAACCCAUUAAACCCAAUAAUAACUACUUUAGGUUGGGGCGACCUUGGAAUAAAAAAGAACUUCCAAUCUAUGACUCCCUCAUAAGCAAGGCAAACAAGCCAAUACGACCCAGUAUAGCUGACAAUUGAAACAAGUUACUCCAGGGAUAACAGCGCCAUCUUCUUUAAGAGCCCAUAUCAAAAAGAAGGUUUACGACCUCGAUGUUGGAUCAGGACACCCMARYGAUGCAACCGYUACUAAAGGUU